rnacentral:tRNA from 1 species
AAGAAUUCCAUUUAAAGCUGCUAACUUUUUUAUAGUGGUUAAAUCCCAUUAAUUCUUC